UGCCACAGCCAAAACACCCUGCAGCCCAAGACCGGUUCCUCACUGAAGCCAAGCAGGGCUGAACCUGGUUAGUACCUGGAUUGGAGACCACAUGGGAAAGCUAGGUUUCUCUUGGAA
ensembl:rRNA 5S_rRNA 5S ribosomal RNA